rnacentral:rRNA from 1 species
UACGAAGGGGGCUAGCGUUGCUCGGAAUCACUGGGCGUAAAGCGCACGUAGGCGGCUUUCUAAGUCAGGGGUGAAAUCCUGGAGCUCAACUCCAGAACUGCCUUUGAUACUGGAGAGCUUGAGUCCGGGAGAGGUGAGUGGAACUCCGAGUGUAGAGGUGAAAUUCGUAGAUAUUCGGAAGAACACCAGUGGCGAAGGCGGCUCACUGGCCCGGUACUGACGCUGAUGUGCGAAAGCGUGGGGAGCA